GCCGCGGUGGCAGAAUCUGGUAAAUGCGCUUGCUUAAGGAGCAAGUGAGAGCUCCACACUCCCCUGCGGGUUCGAAUCCCGCCCGCGGCG
rnacentral:tRNA from 1 species